ACCUCGGUAGCUGAGUGGUCAGUGCAGCAGGGCGUGAAACUGAAAGACCUGGGUUCGUAUCCCAGUCGAGGUC